CAAUGGAGUUUCAGAAAGGUUUGGUAAGAUGUAUCUUCGCGUGUAAUCUAUGCGUCGAUUGCGUUUUAUAUGAUUCUUCUCAUCAGAGGCGUUACAAGUUACACCGAUUCAACGCCAUAAAAGAGAUCUUUACUCUUGUGACCCACUACCACGUUCAUUCAAUUUAAUGAUAAUUCAUUCAAUGAUUCCUAUCCCUUCAAAGGCGGUCGUUCACUUACUAUAUAAACAGGCCGCGACAUGCUCCUCCUAUCCUAAGAGGAACCGUGUCAAAAUUUUGGUGAUGGCCCAUCCCGAGGAGAAAAUAAGUGAUGCAGAACAUCAAAACUGCAAUAUCUGUAGCAUCAAGUUGACGUUAUCAAAAGCCAAUAAACUUAAAAAGAAUAACACUGACAAUCAAAUCACAGAAAAGGUGACCUUCAUCUCUCUCUCUCUAUAAAUAUAUUGUAUGUGUAUAGUGGAUAAAUAAGAAAGACAGAAACAAAAACAGCAAUUUCUCAGUACAUUGACUUACAAAUACGCUUAUUUGUUUUGUUGGAUCAUUUGAUUUGUUGUGGACCUUACGGGUAAUGGCAAGAUCAAAUACGUGUUAUUUACAAACUACAUAAAUACAUUGACAAAACCGCAAACUUCUUUUGAUUGUGUCUCUUGCUGUUUGUUCUAUGAGGCACAUAUUACGAAGAAAAAAAGGGGAUCUUAUGAGUGUCCUCAUGCUUGAUGAAAAUAAUUUUUCUCAUCAAUCUUUUAUGUUGCUAUGGCUAAACUCAUUAAUCUCAUCAUUUUUCUCAUUCCUCUUCUUUCUGAUAGUCAUGAAAAAUUCAUGGGACUGGUGAACAGAAAUACUUAGUUAUGAACACCUCAUGUGUAUCCUGCAAGGCUUCUGACAGAAUCAAGAUUUCUGGAAACGAAAACCCAACCGCCAGUGAUUAUGAUCCGUUGCAACAUUCACGUCCAUCGGAGACAGCCAAUGCACAUGUUCAGCCUGCUUGCGACGGGAGCACUGUUGAGAGCUACUGGUUCUAGCGUUCGAGUGUUUUCUCAGAAAGGCACGCAAGACUUAAUCGAUCAAGUUAGAAAACUGAUAAUUCCUCAUACUGACCCAGUCACAGAGGAAAGUUGUAUGAUGAAAGUAACUAAUC